rnacentral:rRNA from 1 species
CCGCGGUAAUACCGACUCCAAGAGUGUGUAUGAGAGAUGCUGCAGUUAAAAAGUCCGUAGUCAUAGAAGGGCAAAGAGAGAUGCGAGGUCUCACAGUGCGAUGAUGGAGGAGCCGAUGGGGAACAUAGUAUACCAGGGCGAGAGAUGAAAUGCCAAGACCCCUGGUGGACUGAGCGAGGCGAAGGCGAUGUUCUUGUAGGCAUUCGGUGAUCAAGGACGAAGGCUGGAGUAUCGAAAGUGAUUAGAUACCGCAGUAGUUCCAGCAGUAAAAGAUGCCGACAUGCUCAUUGGACACAGUGGGCAGGGAGAAAUCUUAGAGUUCGGGCUCUGGGGAUAGUAUGCUCGCAAGGGUGAAAAUUAAAGAAAUUGACGGAGCUACACCACAAGGAGUGGAUUGUGCGGCUUAAUUUGACUCAACGCGAGGAAACUUACCAGGGCCAAGUAUUGUGUAGAAACGAGCAAUACAGGAGUGGUGCAUGGUCGUUGGAAAUUGAUGGGAUGACUUUGACCUUAAAUGGUUGAAUGAGUGAGAUCUUUUGGACAUGUUCCGCACGGAACAGGAAGGAAAAGGCUAUAACAGAUCCGAGAUGCCCUCAGAUGCCCUGGGCUGCACGCGCAAUACAAUAGCAGGUAGAGAGAGAGACAGGAAGGUGCUCAGAUGGACUAUGUGCUGUAAGGCACAUACGAAAGAGGAAUUCCUAGUAAGUGUGUAUCAA